rnacentral:lncRNA from 1 species
CCAAUUGGAUUAAAAAAAGGAAAACUUUUUUUAAAAAAAUAAAAUAAAAUAAUUUUAAUUUCUUUUAUUCUCUACCAUUUUGUCUUCUUCCCUAUGUCUUUUCCACUGCACCUCUUCUCUGCAUUCCUCCUUCCUGAAUUUCAUAUUUUGUUUUACUUUUUACUUUUUCUAUACUUUUCUUUUUCUUUUGUUUUUUCUUUUAUUUCUUCCUCCCCUUUGGUCUUCUUCUCCUUCUUGGUUGCGCCCUGCACGCCUAGAGCCGGCUUUCCACCUAAUUGAAACCACGCACCAGCGCUGGCUGGAGUAACCGGCGUCGACCGCUGGCUACCUCCUUGGCGGCCACCAAAAUUCUCUCCAGCGCGAGGGAAAACCCUUGCUGACUCGAUGGUGCACGACCAUUUCACGAAAAUCACACCAAAGCACGGCGAAUACACAAAAAGCGAACAUGGAGCAACAGUUAUAGAAGUAAAGACAGGUCGAUCUCUGGUUUUAACGUGAACUAGCUAACAAAGAAAUCUAGGCUCAUUUAAGAAUACAGGUUCGGACCAAGCUCGAAGUUAGACAUACAAGCAGCAUUCUGGACCAACUCGGAGACGUAUCAUACGGGUUUGACAUGAGUAUGAACAACAACAUCAGACCUUGGCCAUAACCCACUAAAGAGACUCUAAGUUCACUCGAGUAUUUCAACGAAUGGCCGGCAUGCACUACUGAAACGAGGGCUGCUAGAGACCCUAGCACGAACUUAUCUCCUAACAACGCAUACUAGGACACACAGAAGCUCUCAUGGAGGACCAAUGGGAUCGAAACUCGUGAGUACGGGUCGGCCACGAGCUCCGGUCUGAAGCUCCCAAAAACGGAACUCACAUGCUCAAGGGAGACCUACCAGGUUCGGGGGAAGGGCUGCAGCGAAUGGCAGCUAAUGAACGGACUUCCGGUGACCGCCGACGGCAGAUCACUCUCUCGGGCUCACGCUCUCCUCGCUCUCUCUCUCUAUCUCUCUCUCCUGGACUCUCACCGAAGAGCUCCCCCCCUCGCAAAUGAGUGAGCCCCUCUCUUUUAAGAGUGACCGGCAGGCGCGCAUGGCCCCUGCCACCGCCAGCUUGCCGGCCGGACUGAUCCGACCCGUGGAUCAUGCCGUCCUCUGCUCUGCUCCGUGACGAUCCUCUGUCUCCUUUUGCUCAUACUCUGCUUCUUUCUCUUUUCUUUUUGGCAGAAUCGUGGUUGGCAUGAGGGGAGAAAAGAAAAGAGAGGAGGGGCCGGG